GACGAACGCUGGCGGCGUGCUUAACACAUGCAAGUCGAACGGAAAGGCCCUGCUUUUGUGGGGUGCUCGAGUGGCGAACGGGUGAGUAACACGUGGGUAACCUGCCCUUGACUUUGGGAUAACUUCAGGAAACUGGGGCUAAUACCGGAUAGGAGCUCCUGCUGCAUGGUGGGGGUUGGAAAGUUUCGGCGGUUGGGGAUGGACUCGCGGCUUAUCAGCUUGUUGGUGGGGUAGUGGCUUACCAAGGCUUUGACGGGUAGCCGGCCUGAGAGGGUGACCGGCCACAUUGGGACUGAGAUACGGCCCAGACUCCUACGGGAGGCAGCAGUGGGGAAUACUGCACAAUGGGCGGAAGCCUGAUGCAGCAACGCCGCGUGCGGGAUGACGGCCUUCGGGUUGUAAACCGCUUUCGCCUGUGACGAAGCGUGAGUGACGGUAAUGGGUAAAGAAGCACCGGCUAACUACGUG
rnacentral:rRNA from 1 species